rnacentral:rRNA from 1 species
CACUGUCACUCCUACGGGAGGCAGCAGUGAGGAAUAUUGGACAAUGGUCGGGAGACUGAUCCAGCCAUGCCGCGUGCAGGAUGACUGCCCUAUGGGUUGUAAACUGCUUUUAUACGGGAAGAAACGCACCUACGUGUAGGUGUCUGACGGUACCGUAAGAAUAAGGACCGGCUAACUCCGUGCCAGCAGCCGCGGUAAUACGGAGGGUCCGAGCGUUAUCCGGAAUCAUUGGGUUUAAAGGGUCCGUAGGCGGGCCGUUAAGUCAGGGGUGAAAGUCUGCGGCUCAACCGUAGAAUUGCCUUUGAUACUGGCGGUCUUGAGUCAUGGUGGGGUUGCCGGAACAUGUGGUGUAGCGGUGAAAUGCAUAGAUAUCACAUAGAACACCGAUCGCGAAGGCAGGUGACCAACCAUGUACUGACGCUGAUGGACGAAAGCGUGGGUAGCGAACGGGAUUAGAUACCCUGGUAG